UACAGAGGGGGCAAGCGUUAUUCGGAAUUAUUGGGCGUAAAGGGCGCGUAGGCGGCUUGGCAAGUGGCAGGUGAAAUCCCUCGGCUUAACCGAGGAACUGCCCUCCAAACUGCUUUGCUUGAGGCCGGGAGAGGUGAGUGGAAUUCCCAGUGUAGCGGUGAAAUGCGUAGAUAUUGGGAGGAACACCAGUGGCGAAGGCGGCUCUCUGGACGGCAACUGACGCUGAGGCACGAAAGCGUGGGGAGCAAACAGG
rnacentral:rRNA from 1 species